GAUGAAGAACGUAGCGAAAUGCGAUAAGUAAUGUGAAUUGCAGAAUUCAGUGAAUCAUCGAAUCUUUGAACGCACAUUGCGCCCGCUAGUAUUCUGGCGGGCAUGCCUGUCCGAGCGUCAUUUCAACCCUCAAGCCCCCGGGCUUGGUGUUGGGGAUCGGCGAGCCUCCGCGCCCGCCGUCCCCUAAAUCUAGUGGCGGUCUCGCUGUAGCUUCCUCUGCGUAGUAGCACACCUCGCACUGGGAAACAGCGCGGCCACGCCGUUAAACCCCCAACUUCUGAACGUUUGACCUCGGAUCAGGUAGGAAUACCCGCUGAACUUAAGCAUAUAAAUAAGCGGAGGA
rnacentral:misc_RNA from 1 species